GACGAACGCCGGCGGCGUGCUUAACACAUGCAAGUCGAACGGAAAGGCCCUGCUUUUGUUGGGUGCUCGAGUGGCGAACGGGUGAGUAACACGUGAGUAACCUGCCCUUGACUUUGGGAUAACUUCAGGAAACUGGGGCUAAUACCGGAUAGGAGCUCCUGCUGCAUGGUGGGGGUUGGAAAGUUUCGGCGGUUGGGGAUGGACUCGCGGCUUAUCAGCUUGUUGGUGGGGUAGUGGCUUACCAAGGCUUUGACGGGUAGCCGGCCUGAGAGGGUGACCGGCCACAUUGGGACUGAGAUACGGCCCAGACUCCUACGGGAGGCAGCAGUGGGGAAUAUUGCACAAUGGGCGGAAGCCUGAUGCAGCAACGCCGCGUGCGGGAUGACGGCCUUCGGGUUGUAAACCGCUUUCGCCUGUGACGAAGCGUGAGUGACGGUAAUGGGUAAAGAAGCACCGGCUAACUACGUG
rnacentral:rRNA from 1 species